GCCCCUAUAGCUCAGCUGGAUAGAGCACCGGACUUCUAAUCCGACGGUCGCAGGUUCGAAUCCUGCUGGGGGCG
rnacentral:tRNA from 1 species